ACCUACGGGGGGCAGCAGUAGGGAAUUUUCGUCAAUGGGCGCAAGCCUGAACGAGCAAUGCCGCGUGAACGAGGAAGGUCUUCGGAUCGUAAAGUUCUGUUGAAGGGGAAAAAGAGCGGAGAGAGGAAAUGGUCUCCGAUUGAUAUUACCCUUCGAGGAAGUCACGGCUAACUACGUGCCAGCAGCCGCGGUAAUACGUAGGUGGCGGGCGUUAUCCGGAAUGAUUGGGCGUAAAGGGUGCGUAGGCGGCCUGCUAAGUCUGGAGUGAAAGGUACCGGCUCAACCGGUACAGGCUCUGGAAACUG
rnacentral:rRNA from 1 species